CCGCUGUCGGACAAAGAUUGAACACGAACCACUGGCUCAGGCCAGUCCUCCAUGUUGCUCAUGAUUAGAAAAGAAUAGUAGUGGUUGUGAAAUAUAUAUAUAUAUCAAUAACAGGGUUGAUUAUGAUAAGCACAAGAAAGUUGUACUUUUUUUUUUUUUUUUUCUGGGAAAAAUUGAAGGUUGAAGAAGGAUGAGUGGGAGAGCAGGAGCAGUUAAAAGAAGGUGUGAAGGUAGUGGGGAUGGGAAGUGGAGGGAAAUUGAAGUGGACGUGGAGGAGAAC
rnacentral:lncRNA from 1 species